rnacentral:rRNA from 1 species
CCUACGGGUGGCAGCAGUGAGGAAUAUUGGUCAAUGGACGAGAGUCUGAACCAGCCAAGUAGCGUGAAGGAUGACUGCCCUAUGGGUUGUAAACUUCUUUUAUAUGGGAAUAAAAUGUUCCACGUGUGGGAUUUUGUAUGUACCAUAUGAAUAAGGAUCGGCUACCUCCGUUACAGCAGCCGCGGUAAUACGGAGGAUCCGAGCGUUAUCCUGAUUUAUUGGGUUUAAAGGGAGCGUAGGUGGAUUGUUAAGUCAGUUGUGAAAGUUUGCGGCUCAACCGUAAAAUUGCAGUUGAAACUGGCAGUCUUGAGUACAGUAGAGGUGGGCGGAAUUCGUGGUGUAGCGGUGAAAUGCUUAGAUAUAACGAAGAACGCCGAUUGCGAAGGCAGUUCACUGGACUGCAACUGACACUGAGGCUCGAAAGUGUGGGUAUCAAACAGGAUUAGAUACCCCGGUAGUC